UCACUGGUGGUCCAGUGGUUAAGAUUCUGUGCUUCCAGUGCAGGGGGUGUGGGUUCAAUCCCUGCCCAGGGAA
rfam:TPA: Bos taurus chromosome 7, whole genome shotgun sequence.